rnacentral:rRNA from 1 species
GAUGAACGCUGGCGGCGUGCCUAAUACAUGCAAGUCGAGCGAACAGACGAGGAGCUUGCUCCUUUGACGUUAGCGGCGGACGGGUGAGUAACACGUAGGUAACCUACCUAUAAGACUGGGAUAACUUCGGGAAACCGGAGCUAAUACCGGAUAAUAUUUCGAACCGCAUGGUUCGAUAGUGAAAGAUGGCUUUGCUAUCACUUAUAGAUGGACCUGCGCCGUAUUAGCUAGUUGGUAAGGUAACGGCUUACCAAGGCAACGAUACGCAGCCGACCUGAGAGGGUGAUCGGCCACACUGGAACUGAGACACGGUCCAGACUCCUACGGGAGGCAGCAGUAGGGAAUCUUCCGCAAUGGGCGAAAGCCUGACGGAGCAACGCCGCGUGAGUGAUGAAGGUCUUCGGAUCGUAAAACUCUGUUAUUAGGGAAGAACAAACGUGUAAGUAACUGUGCACGUCUUGACGGUACCUAAUCAGAAAGCCACGGCUAACUACGUG